rfam:Bacillus xerothermodurans strain ATCC 27380 scaffold_0, whole genome shotgun sequence.
AUAAAUAAAUUCGGGGCCCGUCUCACGACGAGCCCCUUCAUGGGAGAGGAGAAACCGGAUGAAGAGCUUAUGGGGAACGUAAGUCUUCUCCACGG